AAAGAAUAAACAGGAGCACCAUGAAUGUUAGGAAAGAAAGUGUACGAGCANCCCAGGAAUUAGCUGUGCUGCGGGUAUCUAGAUGAUGCCCCGAAAGAUUCGGCGGCUUUUCCAGCUGCGAAUCAGCUCCUGGCUGGGACGAGGGAAUUAGGGGCAGCGGGAAAUCCUGUUAGCAGAGCCAUGUCUGCGGGAAAGGAUAAUCCCGUAAUUGGAGGCAUCUGCCGCGGCACAGUUAACUCAGCNGGCCCGCAGCCCUGCCAGGUCGCCCUGGUGGACGAGGACCCGUCGCUCGGCGCUGCCCGAAGGCCGGCGGAGCGCAAGCCCGACGCGCCCCCCUGCUUGGGCGAGCUGGACGGGCCGCUUCCCGCCAGGCUCCCCUUCGUGCUCCGCAGCAGGUGACCGUCCCCUGGGUGCCUGGGGCUGGCUGGACCCACCCACUCUCGUUAAUCCAAUCUGUGUGCCGUGUGGUCCAAUAAUCCCUUCCCCUGCUCCUCGGGGAUUACCGCACGAGAGCUCCGGACGCCGUUGCAGCCAGCAUCUUGCAAGAGAUGCUGAAGGAGACAGGGACGGCGCGCCAAUACUGGUUCCGUUCCGGGCGCAGGCACCAGCAUGCUGGGCUGGAUCCAGAAGGUCGUCCCCCAGCCUCCCCUAAGUCCCUCUGUCCUCGUGAUGGUGAAGAACGAUACGCAGGUGGGAGCAAAGCUGGAAGCGAGGCCGCUGGCAGAAGGAACUCCAGGCUGUCCAGCGAAAGGGUGCAAUGCAGAAAGCGUCAGCGGGAGCCACGAUCCUGGAUCGGCCACAGAGAGUGUUGGCCAUGGUGUGCUUACCUGGAUAUCACAGGGGCUGGAGAAGGUGAUGCCACAGCCAGCUCAGAGCCCACCGCAUAUGCUGCAGAUGGCCGAAAGGAGCUUUGAGGGCAGCAUAGAUGUCCCAGACGUGACAGAAGUCCAGAGCAUACUAGAGGAACUGGAAGAGGAAGAUCCAGAACUAGACAUAAUUGUGCUUAAGCCUGAAGAAGACAACAGUGUCUUGCAGUCCAGCUCAGACAAUAACGCUCAAGAGAAAAGUGGUGGGAAAAAAGUGUUGACUUGGCUAAUGGAAGAAUUUGGAAAAAUGAUUCCUCAACCAGAGCACCUUAAAAAGCAUGAGGUAAGGGCAGAAGAGGCUUCCUGUCCAGGGACAAGGAAACGAGACCCAGGUUGCAAAAUUCACAUGCACUGCACAGUGCCGUGUGAGUUUAUGAGCUGCAUGAAGCGUGC
rnacentral:lncRNA from 1 species